GACAUAAAUGUUAUUUAAAUAUUGCACCUGUCAAUACAGAACGAAAUACUACGUAGCCUAUUUUGCCUUCAGUACUGCCGACGUUGUCUUUGCUGCUA